AGCGAACGCUGGCGGCAGGCCUAACACAUGCAAGUCGAACGAACUCUUCGGAGCUAGUGGCGGACGGGUGAGUAACACGUGGGAACGUGCCUUUAGGUUCGGAAUAACUCAGGGAAACUUGUGCUAAUACCGAAUGUGCCCUUCGGGGGAAAGAUUUAUCGCCUUUAGAGCGGCCCGCGUCUGAUUAGCUAGUUGGUGAGGUAAAGGCUCACCAAGGCGACGAUCAGUAGCUGGUCUGAGAGGAUGAUCAGCCACAUUGGGACUGAGACACGGCCCAAACUCCUACGGGAGGCAGCAGUGGGGAAUCUUGCGCAAUGGGCGAAAGCCUGACGCAGCCAUGCCGCGUGAAUGAUGAAGGUCUUAGGAUUGUAAAAUUCUUUCACCGGGGACGAUAAUGACGGUACCCGGGGAAGAAGCCCCGGCUAACUUCGUGCCAGCCGCCGCAGUAA
rnacentral:rRNA from 1 species